rnacentral:rRNA from 1 species
AUUGAACGCUAGCGGCAGGCCUAACACAUGCAAGUCGAGCGGAGCGGCGGACGGGUGAGGCAUACCUAGGAAUCUGACUGGUCGUGGGGGAUAACGUCCGGAAACGGGCGCUAAUGCCUCAUACUCUCAGAUGAGACUCGGUCGGAUUAGGUAGUUGGAGGGGUAAAGGCCCACCAAGGCUACGAACCGUAACUGGUCUGAGAGGAUGACCAGUCACACUGGAACUGAGACACGGUCCAGACUCCUACGGGAGGCAACAGUGGUGAAUAUUGGACAAUGGGCGAAACCCUGAUCCAGCCAUGCCGCGUGUGUGAAGAAGGUCGUCGGAUUGUAAAGCACUUUAAGUUGGGAAGCGUUACCAACAGAAUAAGCACCGGCUAACUUCGUGCCAGCCGCCGCGGUAAUUC